UACGAAGGGUGCAAGCGUUAAUCGGAAUUACUGGGCGUAAAGCGUGCGCAGGCGGUUUUGUAAGACAGGCGUGAAAUCCCCGGGCUCAACCUGGGAACUGCAUUUGUGACUGCAAGGCUAGAGUACGGCAGAGAGGGAUGGAAUUCCGCGUGUAGCAGUGAAAUGCGUAGAUAUGCGGAGGAACACCAAUGGCGAAGGCAAUCCCCUGGGCCUGUACUGACGCUCAUGCACGAAAGCGUGGGGAGCAAACAGG
rnacentral:rRNA from 1 species